AGCGAACGCUGGCGGCAGGCUUAACACAUGCAAGUCGAGCGGGCAUCCUUGUGGUGUCAGCGGCAGACGGGUGAGUAACGCGUGGGAACGUGCCCUUCGGUUCGGAAUAACUCAGGGAAACUUGAGCUAAUACCGGAUACGUGCGAGAGCAGAAAGGUUUAUCUGCCGAAGGAUCGGCCCGCGUCUGAUUAGCUAGUUGGUGAGGUUACGGCUCGCCAAGGCGACGAUCAGUAGCUGGUCUGAGAGGAUGAUCAGCCACACUGGGACUGAGACACGGCCCAGACUCCUACGGGAGGCAGCAGUGGGGAAUAUUGGACAAUGGGGGCAACCCUGAUCCAGCCAUGCCGCGUGAGUGAUGACGGCCUUAGGGUUGUAAAGCUCUUUUCUCCGGGACGAUAAUGACGGUACCGGAGGAAUAAGCCCCGGCUAACUUCGUG
rnacentral:rRNA from 1 species